rnacentral:rRNA from 1 species
CUAUAAGACUGGAAUAACUCCGGGAAACCGGGGCUAAUGCCGGAUAACAUUUAGAACCGCAUGGUUCUAAAGUGAAAGAUGGUUUUGCUAUCACUUAUAGAUGGACCCGCGCCGUAUUAGCUAGUUGGUAAGGUAACGGCUUACCAAGGCAACGAUACGUAGCCGACCUGAGAGGGUGAUCGGCCACACUGGAACUGAGACACGGUCCAGACUCCUACGGGAGGCAGCAGUAGGGAAUCUUCCGCAAUGGGCAAAAGCCUGACGGAGCAACGCCCCGUGAGUGAUGAAGGUCUUCGGAUCGUAAAACUCUGUUAUUAGGGAAAAACAAAUGUGUAAGUAACUAUGCACGUCUUGACGGUACCUAAUCAGAAAGCCACGGCUAACUACGUGCCAGCAGCCGCGGUAAUACGUAGGUGGCAAGCGUUAUCCGGAAUUAUUGGGCGUAAAGCGCGCGUAGGCGGUUUCUUAAGUCUGAUGUGAAAGCCCACGGCUCAACCGUGGAGGGUCAUUGGAAACUGGGAAACUUGAGUGCAGAAGAGGAGAGUGGAAUUCCAUGUGUAGCGGUGAAAUGCGCAGAGAUAUGGAGGAACACCAGUGGCGAAGGCGACUUUCUGGUCUGUAAC